rnacentral:rRNA from 1 species
CCUANGGGUGGCAGCAGUGAGGAAUAUUGGUCAAUGGGCGAGAGCCUGAACCAGCCAUCCCGCGUGCAGGAAGAAUGCCCUAUGGGUUGUAAACUGCUUUUUCGCAUGAAGAACAUCCCGGUCGUGACCGGGACUGACGGUAAUGCGUGAAUAAGCACCGGCUAACUCCGUGCCAGCAGCCGCGGUAAUACGGAGGGUGCAAGCGUUAUCCGGAUUUAUUGGGUUUAAAGGGUGCGUAGGCGGCAAUUUAAGUCAGUGGUGAAAUCCUGCAGCUCAACUGUAGAACAGCCAUUGAAACUGAAUUACUUGAGUAAUCUUGAGGUAGGCGGAAUGUGUAGUGUAGCGGUGAAAUGCUUAGAUAUUACACAGAACACCGAUUGCGAAGGCAGCUUACUAAGGAUUUACUGACGCUGAUGCACGAAAGCGUGGGGAUCAAACAGGAUUAGAUACCCCANUANUC